UCUGAGAGGAUGAUCAGCCACACCGGGACUGAGACACGGCCCGGACUCCUACGGGAGGCAGCAGUGGGGAAUAUUGGACAAUGGGGGAAACCCUGAUCCAGCCAUGCCGCGUGUGUGAAGAAGGCCUUCGGGUUGUAAAGCACUUUCAGUGGGGAAGAAGGCAUGCCGAUUAAUACCCGGCAUGAAGGACAUCACCCACAGAAGAAGCACCGGCUAACUCCGUGCCAGCAGCCGCGGUAAUACGGAGGGUGCAAGCGUUAAUCGGAAUUACUGGGCGUAAAGGGCGCGUAGGCGGCUUGCCAAGCCGGAUGUGAAAGCCCCGGGCUCAACCCGGGAACGGCAUUCGGAACUGGCAGGCUAGAGUGCAGGAGAGGAAGGUGGAAUUCCCGGUGUAGCGGUGAAAUGCGUAGAGAUCGGGAGGAAUACCAGUGGGGAAGGCGGCCUUCUGGACUGACACUGACGCUGAGGCGCGAAAGCGUGGGUAGCAAACAGGAUUAGAUACCCUGGUAGUCCACGCC
rnacentral:rRNA from 1 species